GUGCUUGCUUAAGCAGCACAUAUACUAAAACUGGAACGAUACAGAGAAGAUUAGCAUCACCCCUGAGCAAAGAUGAUACACAAAUUUGUGAAGCAGUCCAUAUGUUU
rfam:Erinaceus europaeus unplaced genomic scaffold scaffold01211, whole genome shotgun sequence